AUGACUACUGAGGAAAAGAACAAAUUAAAGAAGAGUGGCAUAAGAAAAGAGGCAUACAGCAGCAGUGGUUGGAUGAAGUGGAUGUGCUGGGAGGAGGCUGUGACGUCCUUCACAUUGACCUUCAGGUUGGAGGGGAUCUUGACGAAGGUCCUGUUCAUGUGCAUGAUGGCCUUGAUCUCAAGGCCUCAGGGUCAUGUGGUCCCAGGACAGGGUGGGACAGCUGAAGAGCUGGGGCAGGUGCAGGAUGACCUGCUCACUCUCCCUGACCAGGACACAGUGGGCACAGAAGGUGUGCUGGUGCUGCACCACAGCCUCACAAAUGAGGACCUGGUCGUCAGUCACCACCCUGUCCUCUGUAACAAUCCUGAAGGUGAACAUGAUGCAAAUGGGCAGCUGCUGCUGGGAGCUCUGAUCUGUGUCAAAGACCAGCUCCUCCAGGGUUUGGUAGCUCUGAGAGGUCUUGAGGGAGACAAAGUGGCCCUGGAAGUUGGGCUUGAUCGUCCUGACCACCAUUGUUAUCUUUGGGUUCUCAUAGAUCACAUACUAGAGACGAACCUAGGUGAUCUUGAUCAGGUCCCCCUUGCAGAGCCAGCACUCUUUCACCCCGAAGUCAUAGAUGGAGCUCGAAUAGUAGGACUGCGAGGAGAUCCGCAGCAUGUGCUGAAGGGAGAUGAGGUCCAGGGUGUGCACGAAAUCUUCCAGAGGCAUGGGUUCCAUGAUGCCCGUGGCUCUCUGCUGCUGAGUAAGGUCCUGGCCCUGGAAGGCCCCUUCCCCCUGUCCGUGGAGAUCCUGAAGGUUCCUGAAGGGUGCCACAUCUUCCUCAGCCCAUGGGUGCACUCCUUGAAGAGAGGCCAGAGGCUUUGCAUCUAUGGCCUAGCCUCACCACUCUGGCAGGUCCUGGCCUCAAACAAGGGCUGCAGGGAGCCCAGGAACUUCCUGGUGUCAGGGGCCUACCAGGGCAAGAUAUGGUGGCAGCCAAGGGAGUUCCUCGCAGCUUGUGACCUCCUGGGUGCAUUCCAGCCAGACCAGCCACUCGAAGUGGUGGCCACAAAGGACUGUGAGGGCAAGAGAGAGAAGAAUCCUAAGUUCACAUCCCUGUCUGUGGGUGACAGGCUAGAGGUACUGCAGCCUGGCCUGGCCCAUGGGGCCCAGGGGAGUGUUAUUGAUGUCUUGGUUUGUCAGUGGCUGAGUGAUGAGUAUGAGGAGGCAGAGAGCCCAGAGCGGGUCCUGCUGCCCCUCCACUGCCCUGGCAGCUUUGUGGAGGAGUUGAGUUACAGCCAGUGGUACAGCCUGGUGGAUCUGAUUGCCCAGUUCUCACUGCCUUUUGAGAUUAGGGUGAUGGUCAGAGAUCCCAGUUACCCUAUUGACCCUCUGACUGCUGUACUGGGUCUGCAGCUGGAGGAGAAGAUCACAGAGCCCUUCUUCGUGGUCAGCCUGGACUCUGAGCCUGGGAUGUGCUUCUAGAUUCCUCCCGGUGGCUGGACCUGACUGUCGUGAAGGCUGAGGUACAGCCAGACUGGACAGGGACCUGUACCCAUAGCGACAGUGGAGGAGCUGCCAGACACCUUCUAUUACACUCUUCAGAAGUUAGCAGGCUGUGAGAUACAAGCCUCUCCACCAAGGCCCCCUAAAAGUCAGUGCCUCAGCAGACAGAGGAGACAUAACACCGAGAAGGGAGGCGUCAAGUCCUCUCAAGUCUUAGGAUUACAGCAGCCCCUGUGCUACCCAAACCCAAGGUGAAGACCUUGCCAGAGUUCACCAAGGAUAGCUCCAGUAUGUACAGCAAGACUCCUGGCCACAAGAAGGGCCACAGGCCCACUAAGCCCCAAACACAGGAUCUAGAUGAUGAAGAACAUGAUUAUGAAGAAAUACUUGAGUGCUUUCAGAAAACCAUCUAAGUUUUGGAGGAACCAUGCAUCCUAACUGCUGUUUCUCAGGGAAUCUGAUGACAGCCAAUCAUUAUAAGCCUCUAAAAGACCUCGGGCAAGGCCUCAUAGAAACUGAACUGCGCACCGAGAAUGGCUUUGUGGGAACUGAUUUGAUGGGCACUGCACCAGCUUUCUUCAGGUUCCAGAUUCCGGCUACUUAGCGUGGGCUGGUUUGGACGUAACACCUCGCACAUGACUCCCUCAGCCUCAGAGCCUUGGGAUGCAGAGCAGCUAGCAGGGUUCCUCAAUCCUGCAACCCCAGCUGUCUCACCGAUGGGUGCAGAUGAGAAUCAGAGUCCACCAACCUUGGUGAUA